rnacentral:lncRNA from 1 species
AACAGCAGACACCAUGACAAGCCUUGCAGCCUUCUGUAAAACAUAAAAAAGUUGCACGUGUUUAUGAAAUCGUACCCUGUUGGCAAGCGGCAGAAUCUGACAAAAGCAGCAAUGGACGCCACCGCUUCCAUGAUCAUCAUGAGAAGGUCCACAUUCACCUCGGAGACCUCCACACUCAGCAGCCGGUCCUCCAGAGCCUCAGACUCUGGAACAUGCUGAAAAACAACCAGCGUUAAGAUCAGGGAGACCCGAGCCUGCUGCUUUUACAAGACACAUUUAUGUGACUGCUGACUUACAGUGUUGCUCCAUUUCAUCAUGCUUCUAUACAUGCUCUCCUGUGAAAAGAGUAGAAGAUGAAAGGGGAUUACAUCAAUCACUGAUCCUCUGUUUGUACAAUAAAUACUGAAUAACUCUCCUCCUGGUUAGAGUGUUUUUAAUGUUCUAUUGACCACAUUUAAUAAGAUAAAUAUUGGACUCCACUGUAAGUGAGAAGUAACUCGAUCCUGGUUUGCAUCUUUGUGGCAAAGGAUUCAUACUUCAGGAUAGUAACGACACAACAUAUAACCAAAGUUUUGCAGGAACUAUUUGAUGCUAUUUGAACUAUUUGAUGCUAUUUGAGUGUCAGUGUCAGGUCUGACGGUGCCCCGACCGGCGACCUGUGUGUAUGUGUGUGUUUGUUCUCCUCUCUCUCGCUCUGUUUUUUCCUCUCCGGCUCCGCUGCGAUUGUUACGCGGUCGCGUAGCAACGGGAGAUCUCCGACCCGGAAGUGCUGCCGCUCUGACCUGUCCCACCUGCGACUGAUUCCUCGCCAGCUGCUGCCAAUCAUCCACCGUCGUUGGCAGAGCUAUUUAAUGGUGUGGCUGAGUGACAGACAGCGCUGGAGUAUUGCACCAAGCCUGGAAGCGAACGAGACGGAGAGACGGAAGGAGAGACGUCACUGAUUCACGGGAGUUGUGUGGACACACGAGGGGAGACGGGGAGAGGAGCACUGAAGGGACUUGCACUAUGGAUAACUGUGGAUUGGCUUCACUGUAAAUAAAGACACUGUUGAACUUUAACGAGAGGUCCGCGUCUGGGUUCACUAACUCACCAUCCUUAACACUCAGUGACUUUCCGCAACAGUUGUCAGACCUCAAUUCCUCUUAACAUGUAGCUGUGGAGAGAGUUCUCAGAAAGGUCCUGAAUAGCUGGCCCACAAGGAAACUUGAGAUGGGAAACGCUGAAGCUAGAAGGUUAGCAGCGACUGAAGUUUCAAAAUAAGUAAGGGCAUUACUUAAUAGUCAGUAAAACACUCUAUAACCUAUGUCUGGGUCUUUAAAGUUUACACAGGGCUGACUUCACAAGAAGCUCUGUGGAAAUUUAAAGUGGUGGCGGAAUGACGUGGGUUGUCGCCUAUGAACAGAAAAGUGGAUAAAGUUCAUGCAGCUUUUGUGCUGCUGUUGCAAAAAGGAAGGAACAAUACAGACAAAUAAUAAUAAAUACCUGAUUUGAAAUUCAUGCAUAUUUUUAGUUUUUCCAUUUCUUAUUCAGAUAUUUAUCAAUAAGUGACUUAUAUGUAUGUAUAUAUUGUGCUAUUCCUUACUUCUUGUAUCUUGUAUCUGUCUUUGUUACUGUUUGUACUGUAACCAAUAUAUUUCCCCCAGGGAUCAAUAAAGUAUUCUGAGUCUCAUUCUAUUAAUAUUAGCCCAGAGAAGGAUGAUGCUGUGCUCACUCCUUAGAGGAGGAAUCUGUUUUGAUUGGGAUCUGAAUAGUUUGAGUGAAACAGGAGCAUGCCCUGAUUUAACAGCCCCCGAUUGCUCCAUUUUCAUACCUCACUUGAACCAGGAAGCAUGUCUUGUAAAACAAUGUGGAUUCUGAGCGUCCACUCUCCAACAGUAACUGGAUUUUUGAGGUAAUCUCUGGCGAAAUCGCAGCACGCAUCCCAGCUGUUAAAAACACAAAGGCCUGGAGGGGAAAAAUGAUGCAGAGGAAACAUUCAAUAUUAAUCAUUAAAUUGAAUUAAAUUUGCAAAUGCAAAUUUCUCUGUAUCAGCCUGCUGGGUCUACUCCUCACCCUCCUCUGCAGUGAUAAAACGAUUAUGUUGUAGUACAGAGUCUGAACCGUCUGAUCAGGGAAGUAACGCCACACCAGCUUGGUGACAUCCUCCUGUCUGUAGUUUCCUUCUGGCAAACCGGUCAACAUGAUCGUGGAGAACGUAGAACCUUGAGAUUGGGCUUUCUACAAGACACAAGGUUCAAGAACCAAAGUUUAUUUGAAGAGAAACUUUGCGGUACUUUUAAAAUAUAUAUAUUACUAUUACUGACCACAUAGAGAAGACAAAAUGAAACCAAGUUUAGCAGAAAAAAAGAAACGUGGUUUUUGAGGUGAGUAUUUGGAAAAAUGGACACCUCUUGGUAUUUACU